rnacentral:rRNA from 1 species
GCUUUUUGUAGGCGUCGACCGGCGCACGGGUGAGUAACGCGUAUCCAACCUGCCCACCACUUGGGAAUAACCUUGCGAAAGUAAGACUAAUACCCAAUGAUAUCUCUAGAAGACAUCUGAAGGAGAUUAAAGAUUUAUCGGUGAUGGAUGGGGAUGCGUCUGAUUAGCUUGUUGGCGGGGUAACGGCCCACCAAGGCGACGAUCAGUAGGGGUUCUGAGAGGAAGGUCCCCCACAUUGGAACUGAGACACGGUCCAAACUCCUACGGGAGGCAGCAGUGAGGAAUAUUGGUCAAUGGGCGAGAGCCUGAAUCAGCCAAGUAGCGUGCAGGAAGACGGCCCUAUGGGUUGUAAACUGCUUUUAUAAGGGAAUAAAGUGAGUCUCGUGAGACUUUUUGCAUGUACCUUAUGAAUAAGGACCGGCUAAUUCCGUGCCAGCAGCCGCGGUAAUACGGAAGGUCCGGGCGUUAUCCGGAUUUAUUGGGUUUAAAGGGAGCGUAGGCCGGAGAUUAAGCGUGUUGUGAAAUGUAGACGCUCAACGUCUGCACUGCAGCGCGAACUGGUUUCCUUGAGUACGCACAAAGUGGGCGGAAUUCGUGGUGUAGCGGUGAAAUGCUUAGAUAUCACGAAGAACUCCGAUUGCGAAGGCAGCUCACUGGAGCGCAACUGACGCUGAAGCUCGAAAGUGCGGGUAUCGAACAGGAUUAGAUACCCUGGUAGUCCGCACGGUAAACGAUGGAUGCCCGCUGUUGGUCUGAAUAGGUCAGCGGCCAAGCGAAAGCCUUAAGCAACCCACCUGGGGACUACCCCCACAACGAU